CCUACGGGGUGCAGCAGUGAGGAAUAUUGGUCAAUGGACGAGAGUCUGAACCAGCCAAGUAGCGUGAAGGAUGACUGCCCUAUGGGUUGUAAACUUCUUUUAUAUGGGAAUAAAACGUUCCACGUGUGGGAUUUUGUAUGUACCAUAUGAAUAAGGAUCGGCUAACUCCGUGCCAGCAGCCGCGGUAAUACGGAGGAUCCGAGCGUUAUCCGGAUUUAUUGGGUUUAAAGGGAGCGUAGGUGGAUUGUUAAGUCAGUUGUGAAAGUUUGCGGCUCAACCGUAAAAUUGCAGUUGAAACUGGCAGUCUUGAGUAGAGUAGAGGUGUGCGGAAUUCGUGGUGUAGCGGUGAAAUGCUUAGAUAUCACGAAGAACUCCGAUUGCGAAGGCAGUUCACUGGACUGCAACUGACACUGAGGCUCGAAAGUGUGGGUAUCAAACAGGAUUAGAUACCCUAGUAGUC
rnacentral:rRNA from 1 species